GGGUCGAUGGCGUAGUUGGUUAUCGCAUCUGUCUCACAUUGGUGACUGCCGGCUUCGCUACAUGUGCACAGGAGGUCCUCAGUUCGAACCUGGGUCGACUCA